GAUGAAGAACGCAGCGAAAUGCGAUAAGUAAUGUGAAUUGCAGAAUUCAGUGGAUCAUCGAAUCUUUGAACGCACAUUGCGCCCGCCAGCAUUCUGGCGGGCAUGCCUGUUCGAGCGUCAUUUCAACCCUCGAGCCCCCCCGGGGGCCUCGGUGUUGGGGGACGGCACACCAGCCGCCCCCGAAAUGCAGUGGCGACCCCGCCGCAGCCUCCCCUGCGUAGUAGCACACACCUCGCACCGGAGCGCGGAGGCGGUCACGCCGUAAAACGCCCAACUUUCUUAGAGUUGACCUCGGAUCAGGUAGGAAUACCCGCUGAACUUAAGCAUAUCAAUAAGCGGAGGA
rnacentral:misc_RNA from 1 species